rnacentral:rRNA from 1 species
UUAAGCGACUAAGCGUACACGGUGGAUGCCCUGGCAGUCAGAGGCGAUGAAGGACGUGCUAAUCUGCGAUAAGCGUCGGUAAGGUGAUAUGAACCGUUAUAACCGGCGAUUUCCGAAUGGGGAAACCCAGUGUGAUUCGUCACACUAUCAUUAACUGAAUCCAUAGGUUAAUGAGGCGAACCGGGGGAACUGAAACAUCUAAGUACCCCGAGGAAAAGAAAUCAACCGAGAUUCCCCCAGUAGCGGCGAGCGAACGGGGAGCAGCCCAGAGCCUGAAUCAGUGUGUGUGUUAGUGGAAGCGUCUGGAAAGGCGCGCGAUACAGGGUGACAGCCCCGUACACAAAAAUGCACAUACUGUGAGCUCGAUGAGUAGGGCGGGACACGUGGUAUCCUGUCUGAAUAUGGGGGGACCAUCCUCCAAGGCUAAAUACUCCUGACUGACCGAUAGUGAACCAGUACCGUGAGGGAAAGGCGAAAAGAACCCCGGCGAGGGGAGUGAAAAAGAACCUGAAACCGUGUACGUACAAGCAGUGGGAGCACAGAGCAAUCUGUGUGACUGCGUACCUUUUGUAUAAUGGGUCAGCGACUUAUAUUCUGUAGCAAGGUUAACCGAAUAGGGGAGCCGAAGGGAAACCGAGUCUUAACUGGGCGUUAAGUUGCAGGGUAUAGACCCGAAACCCGGUGAUCUAGCCAUGGGCAGGUUGAAGGUUGGGUAACACUAACUGGAGGACCGAACCGACUAAUGUUGAAAAAUUAGCGGAUGACUUGUGGCUGGGGGUGAAAGGCCAAUCAAACCGGGAGAUAGCUGGUUCUCCCCGAAAGCUAUUUAGGUAGCGCCUCGUGAAUUCAUCUCCGGGGGUAGAGCACUGUUUCGGCAAGGGGGUCAUCCCGACUUACCAACCCGAUGCAAACUGCGAAUACCGGAGAAUGUUAUCACGGGAGACACACGGCGGGUGCUAACGUCCGUCGUGAAGAGGGAAACAACCCAGACCGCCAGCUAAGGUCCCAAAGUCAUGGUUAAGUGGGAAACGAUGUGGGAAGGCCCAGACAGCCAGGAUGUUGGCUUAGAAGCAGCCAUCAUUUAAAGAAAGCGUAAUAGCUCACUGGUCGAGUCGGCCUGCGCGGAAGAUGUAACGGGGCUAAACCAUGCACCGAAGCUGCGGCAGCGACACUAUGUGUUGUUGGGUAGGGGAGCGUUCUGUAAGCCUGUGAAGGUGUACUGUGAGGUAUGCUGGAGGUAUCAGAAGUGCGAAUGCUGACAUAAGUAACGAUAAAGCGGGUGAAAAGCCCGCUCGCCGGAAGACCAAGGGUUCCUGUCCAACGUUAAUCGGGGCAGGGUGAGUCGACCCCUAAGGCGAGGCCGAAAGGCGUAGUCGAUGGGAAACAGGUUAAUAUUCCUGUACUUGGUGUUACUGCGAAGGGGGGACGGAGAAGGCUAUGUUGGCCGGGCGACGGUUGUCCCGGUUUAAGCGUGUAGGCUGGUUUUCCAGGCAAAUCCGGAAAAUCAAGGCUGAGGCGUGAUGACGAGGCACUACGGUGCUGAAGCAACAAAUGCCCUGCUUCCAGGAAAAGCCUCUAAGCAUCAGGUAACAUCAAAUCGUACCCCAAACCGACACAGGUGGUCAGGUAGAGAAUACCAAGGCGCUUGAGAGAACUCGGGUGAAGGAACUAGGCAAAAUGGUGCCGUAACUUCGGGAGAAGGCACGCUGAUAUGUAGGUGAAGCGACUUGCUCGUGGAGCUGAAAUCAGUCGAAGAUACCAGCUGGCUGCAACUGUUUAUUAAAAACACAGCACUGUGCAAACACGAAAGUGGACGUAUACGGUGUGACGCCUGCCCGGUGCCGGAAGGUUAAUUGAUGGGGUUAGCGGUAACGCGAAGCUCUUGAUCGAAGCCCCGGUAAACGGCGGCCGUAACUAUAACGGUCCUAAGGUAGCGAAAUUCCUUGUCGGGUAAGUUCCGACCUG